GUCGUGAGGAAGGUGGUGUAGUUAAUAGCUGCAUUACUUGACGUUAGCGACAGAAGAAGCACCGGCUAACUCCGUGCCAGCAGCCGCGGUAAUACGGAGGGUGCGAGCGUUAAUCGGAAUUACUGGGCGUAAAGCGCAUGCAGGUGGUUUGUUAAGUCAGAUGUGAAAGCCCGGGGCUCAACCUCGGAAUAGCAUUUGAAACUGGCAGACUAGAGUACUGUAGAGGGGGGUAGAAUUUCAGGUGUAGCGGUGAAAUGCGUAGAGAUCUGAAGGAAUACCGGUGGCGAAGGCGGCCCCCUGGACAGAUACUGACACUCAGAUGCGAAAGCGUGGGGAGCAAACAGGAUUAGAUACCCUGGUAGUCCACGCCGUAAACGAUGUCUACUUGGAGGUUGUGGCCUUGAGCCGUGGCUUUCGGAGCUAACGCGUUAAGUAGACCGCCUGGGGAGUACGGUCGCAAGAUUAAAACUCAAAUGAAUUGACGGGGGCCCGCACAAGCGGUGGAGCAUGUGGUUUAAUUCGAUGCAACGCGAAGAACCUUACCUACUCUUGACAUCCAGAGAACUUUCCAGAGAUGGAUUGGUGCCUUCGGGAACUCUGAGACAGGUGCUGCAUGGCUGUCGUCAGCUCGUGUUGUGAAAUGUUGGGUUAAGUCCCGCAACGAGCGCAACCCUUAUCCUUGUUUGCCAGCGAGUAAUGUCGGGAACUCCAGGGAGACUGCCGGUGAUAAACCGGAGGAAGGUGGGGACGACGUCAAGUCAUCAUGGCCCUUACGAGUAGGGCUACACACGUGCUACAAUGGCGCAUACAGAGGGCAGCAAGCUAGCGAUAGUGAGCGAAUCCCAAAAAGUGCGUCGUAGUCCGGAUUGGAGUCUGCAACUCGACUCCAUGAAGUCGGAAUCGCUAGUAAUCGUGGAUCAGAAUGCCACGGUGAAUACGUUCCCGGGCCUUGUACACACCGCCCGUCACACCAUGGGAGUGGGCUGCAAAAGAAGUAGGUAGUUUAACCUUCGGGAGGACGCUACCACUUGGUUAC
rnacentral:rRNA from 1 species